CCCUUUCUGAAGAUACCAAUGAAACUUCUCUUUCAGCCUCAUUUAUGGCUUCCUCCAAAGCUUUAAGCUGUUCAGAGUCCCUAGCUGCAGCCAGCUCAGCAUCCUUUCUCUGGAGUAGUGCAUGAGCACGAACUUUAUAUGAGGAAAAUUCACUUUCAAGGUGGUUGAUCUCCUCUUUGGCAGCCAACAGUUCACUGUCCUUCUUGUUUAGCAUCUGGUUUUGUACAGAUACUUCUAAUUCCAGCUGACUUCUCAUUUUAGCUGCCUCAAUUUCAGAACGUAUGCAGUUGCUCUCAGCAAUUUCAAGUUUCAUUUUGAGUGCCUGGGAGGCAGCUUCCCAGCUCUCUUUUUCCUUCUCAUGCUCCUGUUUUUGGUGAGCAAGCUCUCCUUUUACACUUUC
rnacentral:misc_RNA from 1 species